rnacentral:rRNA from 1 species
AACGAACGCUGGCGGCAGGCCUAACACAUGCAAGUCGAGCGCACCCUUCGGGGUGAGCGGCGGACGGGUGAGUAACGCGUGGGAACGUGCCCUUCUCUGCGGAAUAGCCUCGGGAAACUGAGAGUAAUACCGCAUACGCCCUUUGGGGGAAAGAUUUAUCGGAGAAGGAUCGGCCCGCGUUGGAUUAGGUAGUUGGUGGGGUAAUGGCCCACCAAGCCGACGAUCCAUAGCUGGUUUGAGAGGAUGAUCAGCCACACUGGGACUGAGACACGGCCCAGACUCCUACGGGAGGCAGCAGUGGGGAAUCUUAAAAAAUGGGGGCAACCCUGUUUUAGCCAUGCCGGGGGAGGGAUGAAGGCCUUAGGGUUGUAAAGCUUUUUCAGCUGGGAAAAUAAUGACUGUCCCAGCAGAAGAAGCCCCGGCUAACUCCGU